GCAGCGAUAGCUCCAAUAGGUAGAGCGCCUGGUUGAAGCCCAGGGCGAUAGUGGUUCGAAUCCAUUUCGCUGCA
rnacentral:tRNA from 1 species